UUAUACUUAAAAAAAAAAACAAUUAAUUCAAUUAAAAAAUAUAAUAUAUGUAGUCCUUUCUCUUUGAGUCUAAUAAAAAAAAAAACAGAUUUCUGAUAUUUUAUCACCUCAGGAGGUAUCGCAAUAGGUAAAUUCUCGCGGGACACCCUGCACGUAUAAUAGUUAUAAUAAUAAAUAAACAUUAAACAAAAAAUUACAACGUAGCAAUAUAUUUUUUAUAAUUUUAUGACAUUAUAAAUAGUGCUUGUUUAAAGGAAAGAAAUACUAGACGGAUGAAUAAUUAUUUUACUUUUUGUUUGACUUUGAAAUGUAAUAAUUCCAUUGUUCAAUGCUUCACGCCGUUUGUUUGCUCAGUAGUCUUUAUAUUUGUUACGAAUAUAAUACUAAUUCUUAUUUUACAUUAAAUAUCUGUUUGACUUUUUUUUUAUAAUAUUGAGCCACAUACUUAUAUAUUUGGUUUUUUCUAAGACAUGGUUAAAUAUUUUUAUAUUUAGUGGAAAACGAACAUUAUUUUAGCGGUUAGUCCAAAAAAAUAAAACGAUUAGGAGAAAAUGUGACCCACCCCCAAAAAAAUAUGUUUUUUUCUCUGAUCAGCGUACCUAAAUACAUAUAGUAAUAAAUUAUAUGGGAUGAUUCACUAGGUUUGAUCACUCUUUCAUCACCAUAUUGUUUCCUUUAAUUAAGCAUUAAUUACCAUAUAACAAAUACCAUAUUUUAAAUUACUUUGAUUUGCUAUGCCGUUCAACUAUACAAGGAGUAUCCACCUGUGUAAAUACAAAUUGUUUCCAAUAAGAAACUUUCUUUUUACUUUAGAAAUUAUUAAACAACUGAUUUAUUUAAAUGUUCAUACAUCCAAAAAAAAUUCAAGCCAAUAGUUUCUGAGUUAUAAAAAUAAAUAUCUAAAAUAUCUAUUAAUGAUAAUACAAAUAGUCUUACAGAAAUAAAAAUAGAUUUAAUAGGCAAUAGCCAAUUGGCACUUAAUAAUUAACCAUUAUUUAUUGUCUAUUGAACGCAUGUAUUUUCUAUACAUAAUAAACUGUUGUCAUAUUUUUAAUAAUUGCUAUGAAUAUUAAAUUUAAAAAAAUAUUUUUCAAACCUAUUAUUAUUGUACUGUAAAUUAUUAUGUUUAUCUUUCUUUUGUACAAAAAAGAUAAAUGACUCGCAAACUUCUCGUUGAAAAUAAUGUCGAAUGAACUACAUUAGUAGUUUAUGGGAGAUAAGCUAAUUAUAAUUUGACAAAAGCAGUUGGUAAUCACACAGGACAAUCCUUAAAUUAUACAAAAAUCGAAGUAUUUUAAAUCUGUACAUAAUUACAUAAAGUAUAUUUCAAAAUUUUAAAUACCAGAAUUUGAUUAAGUUAAUUACAAAAGGAAAAAAUGUAAUAAUUACUUUUAUACAUUGAUACAUAAUAACAUAAUAUACCUGAUAAACAUGGUCAAAAAGGUAAUUUUUUUGCCACAGGUAAAAUAUUUAAAAGGCCACAAAUGUUAAUCACACAAACACGCCAAACCAAGUAAAGCUGCAGCUCGUCGGUGAACCACAAAAGCAAUUAUUUCAUGCAGGCAUUCUUCUACAGACUUGAAAGAAAAGACCAUACACCACGCUACUCGAUAUUUUUCAUCUUCGAGGAAAAUCUAUGAAUCAUAAAUAAUAUGUUUUUGGUAAUAAGUGCAAAUAAUGUGAGUUUGUUUAGUGCUUCAGCGGUCAUUGAUCCAAUUUUUGGUAACACGGCCUUGGGCAUGACCGUAUGUUAUAGCCUAUAUAACUACUAUAUAGGUAUUUGCCUCUGGAGAGUAUGUCCCUUACAUUUCUUUAGCUUGGUAAGUGUAAUAACUGUUUGAUCUUUUGCUAGUGUAAUUAUUGUGUAUUCGAUAUUUUGGCAGAAGCUUUCGACUAGUGUGGACCAGAUCAAACAAGCGUGGAUGAAAAAAAAAAAUAUUUUAUAUUAUAUCAAAGAAAACCGGAUAAACUCCAGGAGAAACGUUGAUGGACCAUCGGGGAAUGCCCUGGAACUGGAGUAGCGACUAACGAGACGUAUUGCACCAAGGGCAACGAUAGGACUAUAGAGGCGGGAUGACGGGCCGGGAUGCCAUGUGACUGAUGCUGGUGAACCUUUGCGAUGACCUGGCGAUGUUCUCGUUGGGCCAGUGACUUGGCGCAGUGUACUACAACAAUAUGCGCCUGAACGUGAAUCAGCCGGCUGAGCAGGAGGAUGCGAGACAAACAUAAAAUGCGGCAUGCAGUGGCACUAGCAGUAGCCUCUGACAAAGGAUCAGCAUCAGCAGGACGAGAUUGAAGAUCAGCCACGGCCGGAGGACCAUGCAAUGAAAAUGCUGCCGCGUCCGAGGGAAACCGCCAAUGUACGUUCUGUGGUUGGGAAAGUGGCCAGGCAAAUCGGACGAGAAAGCCAGGUUUGCAGAUCGAGGUUAGUGUCCCAGUGGGUGUCAGAACCGCGAAGAUGGUGGCAUGAUCGAGGAGGAACUAAUGGAAGUUACGACGGUGAAACUGAAGAGGGUUAAGAAGCAAUUUGGACGAUCCAAAGAAAGUGGCAGUUCAAUUUGAAGCGCGACAACAAAUGUAACAAUCGUAUAACACGAUAUAUAGUACCGAAUAGAAUACCAUUAUAACAUACAAAUCUAACCGACAAUUAGUUUCCAAUAUGCUAGCAGGAAUUCAUGAUGCUGUAUCGCGCUUCUUGGAACUGCCACCUCCAUACUCCUUACCCUUCCAUCAGUUUCACUUUCACAGUCACCAAGUUUCUCCAGUCACCGUCUCCGGGUACGACGCACAAGGCACACCUCGGUCUGCAGCAAAUAGCUUUUUAGUCCUAACCGCUCGGCUGACCACACAGAAUGAACACUGGUCGGUUUCCAGGACAUGGGCGGCAUUUCCUGUGAUUUUGGUCCUUCGGUUGAGGCUGAUUUUCAGACUCGUCUAUAGCUGCUCCUGCUCCUUCUCCUGUGGCUGCUGCUGCUUGCCAUAAUCGCCAUCGAAUAUCACAUCCUCUUGCUCCGUCGAGAGUACUGCCGACUGAGCCGUAAGUUGUAGUGCACUGCCCAACGAGAACCGACCUACAGGCUCAGUCAUCGCCGAGACGUCCUGGUUCGACAGUCGCCACAAAUCCCAUAUUGUUGUCUUUGGUGCAAUAUGUCUGUAGGACGGCAAUAAUGGGCAUUCCCAGUUUCUCCUCUCAAAUAUUUGUCCGGUUUCAUUCAGUGAUCGUGGCUAAAAGUCAAACCUUAAAAGUUAAAAGUUAAACAAUUAAAAUGUUAACAAAAAAAAAUUGUAUAUAUAUAUUAUAUAUAUUGAUCACACAAUGUUUUUACCGUU